rnacentral:rRNA from 1 species
UAUUUUCCUUUUUUUCCCUCUUCCUCUUUACUACGGAAGGUCCGGGCGUUAUCCGGAUUUAUUGGGUUUAAAGGGAGCGUAGGCCGGAGAUUAAGCGUGUUGUGAAAUGUAGACGCUCAACGUCUGCACUGCAGCGCGAACUGGUUUCCUUGAGUACGCACAAAGUGGGCGGAAUUCGUGGUGUAGCGGUGAAAUGCUUAGAUAUCACGAAGAACUCCGAUUGCGAAGGCAGCUCACUGGAGCGCAACUGACGCUGAAGCUCGAAAGUGCGGGUAUCGAACAGG